rnacentral:rRNA from 1 species
UACAGAGGGGGCAAGCGUUAUUCGGAAUUAUUGGGCGUAAAGGGCGCGUAGGUGGCCCGGUAAGUCAAAGGUGAAAUCCCUCGGCUCAACCGAGGAACUGCCUUUGAUACUGCCGGGCUUGAGGCCGGGAGAGGGUAGCGGAAUUCCCAGUGUAGCGGUGAAAUGCGUAGAUAUUGGGAGGAACACCGGUGGCGAAGGCGGCUACCUGGACCGGUUCUGACACUGAGGCGCGAAAGCGUGGGGAUCAAACAGG